rnacentral:rRNA from 1 species
UACGAAGGGGCUAGCGUUGUUCGGAAUCACUGGGCGUAAAGCGCGUGUAGGCGGCUUUGCAAGUCGGGUGUGAAAGCCCUCGGCUCAACCGAGGAAGUGCGCCCGGAAACUGCAGAGCUUGAGUGACCGGGAGGAGGAUGGCGGAAUUCCCCAAGUGAGAGGUGAAAUUCGUAGAUAUGGGGAGGAACACCGGUGGCGAA